AGCGUUGCGGUCCGGACAGAGCAAAAAAAACAAGGCAUCAGUAUUGUUGAGUAUUAGCUUGUACCUGGUUCGGAGGCUAAGUUUGCCGGAGAAGGCAGGGGUGAGCCACGGUGGCUGCCCGGCUGUGCACCGGCGCCGGAGUUUGGACCAAGACAAAGACAGGAGCUGUCCGCGGUGCUGAAUCGGCGGCGCCGUCGCCGGAGCAAGAGGGCUUCUGUAACCAGCCCUCUGCUCAUUUACUCCCCAUCCUUCUAGCUCCCCUUCGCUCUGUGACUCUUGCCUUCCCCUGAAUUUAUUUCCCUUUUGGGGGACUCACCUUAGAGCCUGCGCCCUGUACACAGGUGUAUAUACAUAUAUCAAAGAACAAAACGAUUGACUGAAAACGGUGUCUUCUCCUUUCUUCCCAAAUAAAUGAUGUUAGAAAGGUUUAUUUUAACUGUACUCUAAAACGGAGAGAAAUGGAUAUUUCUACUCCUAAAUAAAUGGAAAUUCAUGUUAAAAACAAUAGAGCUAACCUAUAAUAAC
rnacentral:antisense_RNA from 1 species